AGCAGCCGCGGUAAUUCCAGCUCCAAUAGCGUAUAUUAAAGUUGUUGCAGUUAAAAAGCUCGUAGUUGAAUUUCGGGAUCAAUAUAUCGGUCGUGCCUCCGGUAUGCACUGGUAUUAUUGAUUUCUACCUUCUGACGAACUGUGAUGUCAUUAAUUUGGUGUCAUGGGGAAUCAGGACUGUUACUUUGAAAAAUUAGAGUGUUUAAAGCAGGCACACGCUUGAAUACAUUAGCAUGGAAUAAUGAAAUAGGACGUUUGACCCUAUUUUGUUGGUUUCUAGGAUCGACGUAAUGAUUAAUAGGGAUAGUUGGGGGCAUUAGUAUUCAAUUGUCAGAGGUGAAAUUCUUGGAUUUAUUGAAGACUAACUACUGCGAAAGCAUUUGCCAAGGAUGUUUUCAUUAAUCAAGAACGAAAGUUAGGGGAUCGAAGACGAUCAGAUACCGUCGUAGUCUUAACCAUAAACUAUGCCGACUAGGGAUCGGAUGAUGUUAAUUUUUAAUGACUCAUUC
rnacentral:rRNA from 1 species